rnacentral:rRNA from 1 species
UACGUAGGGUGCGGGCGUUAAUCGGAAUUACUGGGCGUAAAGCGUGCGCAGGCGGUUUUGUAAGCCAGAUGUGAAAGCCCCGGGCUCAACCUGGGAAUGGCAUUUGGGACUGCAAGGCUUGAGUGCGGCAGAGGAGACUGGAAUUCCUGGUGUAGCAGUGAAAUGCGUAGAUAUCAGGAGGAAUACCGAUGGCGAAGGCAGGUCUCUGGGCUGACACUGACGCUCAUGCACGAAAGCGUGGGGAGCAAACAGG